UCCGGUAUGGUGUAACGGCUAACAUUGCCGCCUUUCAUAAGCAACCGUCGCGGCAGCUCGGGGUUCGAUUCCCCGUACCGGAG